rnacentral:lncRNA from 10 species
CACAGCACACUACACUCAUUGACACACGACACUACACAUACACACACUACUGCACACACACCCCAUACUACAGGCACACACACCCAACUCACACACACCACUGCACACACACACCCCACACACAUACUACCAUACCUCCACACACACUGCACACAUACAUCCCACACUACACACAGUGUACACACACAGUUCACUAUAAACACACUCCCACACUACACACACACCUCACUGCACACACAUCUAAUACUACACACACAAAAACACACAACCAAACUACACAAACAAAAAACACAAUACACACAACACACACAAUACACAUACACACCACUGCACACACACACACCACACUACGUACACAUACACCAACACACACGCACACACGCAGACUUUCUGCUUCUUCCUUAGUCUUGACUCAUAUCAGUAAAUGACAUUAUAUCAUGCCAGGUUACUCAAACCAAAAACCUAUGAGUUAGCCUCGAUUUCCUUCUCACUCACCCUCUUGUUCAGCCCAUCAGCAUGUCUGGUCAGUUCUUCCUUCCAUGUAAAAACACAUCUGAAAGCUGCAAAUUUCUCUUUGUCUCCAGGACCAUCACCUUGGUCCAAGCCAUCACCCUCUCUCCUAACUCAUGUCCUGUCCAAUCUUGACUUCUUCUAUUCCAUUCUCUCUACAGCAGCCAGAAUGACGUAAAAAUGUCAUUUAGUUCAUGUCAUACCUUCUCAUAAAAGUCUACACUGUUUAUCUUAUUUUGGAAAAAAAAAAAUCCAAACUGUUUAUCCUGGCUUACAAAGGACUCCUGCCACCCUUCUGACUCAAUGUCCUACCCCUUCCCAGUGGAUUCAUUUGUUCCAUUAUGAAAAGGGUAUGGUUACAGGCACCUGUGAUGCAUCAGUGAAAAAAACAAAGAUCCCUGCCCUAAUGCAAUUUACAUUCUAGCAGGGCAAGAGGAUAAACAAAUAAGUCUAAAGCUUAUGUAGAGUAUGUUAGAGGUUUUAAGUGCUGUUUGAAAAAGAAAAAUAGAACAGAAUGGGAAGCCAGCGAUUAUAGAGGGGGUUCUAGGAUGCAAUUUUAAGAAGAAUGACUAGGCAGCGUAUUUAGUGCUUUUUUGUAAAGGGUGAAAGAGUUGGCCACAAAAUAUCUGAAGGGAAGGGCUUUCUAGACAGAGACGAGUUCAUUUUUUAUACUAUAGCCUGAAUAAUAGACUCUAUAUAUCUUAUAUUCUAGUUUGGUGAGUUCAGAUAAUAAGCAAGUAAACAAACAAACAAACAAAUAAACAAACUAGGAAAAGCUCAGAUAGUGAGAAGUUGCUUGCACAGACCUCAACAGGAUGAUGAGAAGUGAUUGAUCAGGAGCUGCUUUAGAUUACUUGUCUCAUCUCAUCCUUAAACCAGUCUUAUAAGACAGGUCUUAUCAGCCUUGUUAUACAAAUAGGGACGCUAAUCACAGAGAGAUGCUAAAUAAUUUUCCCAAAUUCACUCAAUUAACUUCUCUUUCCAUGUGGUUCCAUUGUCCCCUGUGUAUUCACCACCACCGUAUUUCUCAAACUGCACAUUUAUCAUUGGGUGUUUAGCCACUUUCCUUUCCUGAUUCAAGGGGAUAAACUGUGUCUACCUCAAUGUGGAACCCCCAGCACCUGGCGCGGUGAUAGACUCACCAUCAACACACAAUGAUGCUUGCUAAAUAAAAGCACAUGCCUGACCCG